CCUGGUGGCUCAAAUGGUAAAGCGUCUGCCCACACUGCAGGAGACCCAGGUUCAAUUCCUGGGUCAGGA
rnacentral:tRNA from 1 species